rnacentral:pre_miRNA from 1 species
AAACCUAGAAAAGCGACGGACAGAGUCCUUUAGUCUGUUGCUUUUCUGGAUUUUU